GCUUAGCAGAACAUACACAUUCAUUAAUACUGUUUACCUUGCAGCUCACGUAACUGAGCUGUAUGAACAGGCAGUGGCUUCUCAGCACCAGUAUCACACAGAGAAGACAAUCACUGUGCAAAGAGAGGACCAACAGCAGAGGUUCAGCCCAGAAGGAGUAACACCAGUGUCCAAGUGGCAGAGCAGACUAGAAGAGCACAGGAAAAAACUUGAUGAAGAAAAGAAGUCUUUAAUGGCAAUGAGAAACAAAAUAAUCCCUCCAUAUUUUGAAUCAGAAUUCAGCAAGGAGUUUUUCCUAAAAAAGUUUCCUGAUGUGGAAGCACUGUCUAUGGAACUUCCUCCAGUUCAAAAAAAAGGAAGUGGGAAUUUCCCUCUAGAGAUGAGCAAAAAACCCAGUAGAGGUAAUCUACUGUCUGGCAACGUUUUAGUAUCAUCUUCAUU
rnacentral:lncRNA from 1 species